CAGCAGCCGCGGUAAUACAGAGGGUGCAAGCGUUAAUCGGAAUUACUGGGCGUAAAGCGCGCGUAGGUGGUUUGUUAAGUUGGAUGUGAAAGCCCCGGGCUCAACCUGGGAACUGCAUCCGAAACUGGCAGGCUAGAGUCUUGUAGAGGGGGGUAGAAUUCCAGGUGUAGCGGUGAAAUGCGUAGAGAUCUGGAGGAAUACCGGUGGCGAAGGCGGCCCCCUGGACAAAGACUGACGCUCAGGUGCGAAAGCGUGGGGAGCAAACAGGAUUAGAUACCCCAGUAGUCCCUGUCUCUUAUAC
rnacentral:rRNA from 1 species